rnacentral:rRNA from 1 species
UUUCUAUUUGACCCUGGUAGAAAGUAGAAAUGUGAUUAGUAAAGCUACAUACGGAUAUUAUAUGGUUGAUUAAGUAUAAAUUAAAAAUUUUUAAUUAGUAGUAGUUAGGACUGUUAGUAUAAAGAGAUUUAAUGA